rnacentral:rRNA from 1 species
CGAAAGGUGCUGCUAGUGGUUGUCGUCAGCUCGUGCCGUGAGGUGUCGGGUUAAGUCCCGUAACGAGCGCAACCUUGUCCUUAGUACCAGCACGUUAUGGUGGGCACUCUAAGGAGACUGCCGGUGACAAACCGGAGGAAGGUGGGGAUGACGUCAAGUCAUCAUGGCCCUUACGGCCUGGGCUACACACGUGCUACAAUGGUCGGUACAAAGGGUUGCCAAGCCGCGAGGUGGAGCUAAUCCCAUAAAACCGAUCGUAGUCCGGAUCGCAGUCUGCAACUCGACUGCGUGAAGUCGGAAUCGCUAGUAAUCGUGAAUCAGAAUGUCACGGUGAAUACGUUCCCGGGCCUU